GAUGAACGCUGGCGGCGUGCUUAACACAUGCAAGUCGAACGAUGAAGCCCAGCUUGCUGGGUGGAUUAGUGGCGAACGGGUGAGUAACACGUGAGUAACCUGCCCUUAACUCUGGGAUAAGCCUGGGAAACUGGGUCUAAUACCGGAUAGGAGCGUCCACCGCAUGGUGGGUGUUGGAUAGAUUUAUCGGUUUUGGAUGGACUCGCGGCCUAUCAGCUUGUUGGUGAGGUAAUGGCUCACCAAGGCGACGACGGGUAGCCGGCCUGAGAGGGUGACCGGCCACACUGGGACUGGGACACGGCCCAGACUCCUACGGGAGGCAGCAGUGGGGAAUAUUGCACAAUGGGCGCAAGCCUGAUGCAGCGACGCCGCGUGAGGGAUGACGGCCUUCGGGUUGUAAACCUCUUUCAGUAGGGAAGAAGCGAAAGUGACGGUACCUGCAGAAGAAGCACCGGCUAACUACGUG
rnacentral:rRNA from 1 species